GAUGAAGAACGUAGCGAAAUGCGAUAAGUAAUGUGAAUUGCAGAAUUCAGUGAAUCAUCGAAUCUUUGAACGCACAUUGCGCCCGCCAGUAUUCUGGCGGGCAUGCCUGUUCGAGCGUCAUUUCAACCAUCAAGCCCCAGGCUUGUGUUGGGGACCUGCGGCUGCCGCAGGCCCUGAAAACCAGUGGCGGGCUCGCUGUCACACCGGGCGUAGUAGAUUUUAUCUCGCUCAGGGCGUGCUGCGGGUUCCGGCCGUUAAAUGAAAAGCCUUCGUAGCCCAAGGUUGACCUCGGAUCAGGUAGGAAGACCCGCUGAACUUAAGCAUAUCAAUAAGCGGAGGA
rnacentral:misc_RNA from 1 species